CGCGUAGGCUGCGGGGCAAGUCGGGUGUGAAAUCUCAGAGCUCAACUCUGAAACUGCACUCGAUACUGCUUUGCUUGAGGACUGGAGAGGAGAUUGGAAUUCACGGUGUAGCAGUGAAAUGCGUAGAUAUCGUGAGGAAGACCAGUGGCGAAGGCGGAUCUCUGGACAGUUCCUGACGCUGAGGCGCGAAGGCCAGGGGAGCAAACG
rnacentral:rRNA from 1 species